UACGUAGGGUGCAAGCGUUGUCCGGAAUUAUUGGGCGUAAAGAGCUCGUAGGCGGUCUGUCGCGUCUGCUGUGAAAACUCAGGGCUUAACCCUGAGCUUGCAGUGGGUAUGGGCAGACUAGAGUGCGGUAGGGGAGACUGGAAUUCCUGGUGUAGCGGUGAAAUGCGCAGAUAUCAGGAGGAACACCGGUGGCGGAAGGCGGGUCUCUGGGCCGUAACUGACGCUGGAGGAAGCGGAAAGCAUGGGGAGCGAACAGG
rnacentral:rRNA from 1 species